rnacentral:lncRNA from 1 species
GUUCCUGGCUCCCUUUCGCCCGCAGGUCGCCCAAGUCCAGCCCCACGACGCAGUGCCGACUCCCCGCCGUGCCCCCAGCCCGGCCCGGGUUGCGGAGCCCUGCUCCUGGGCCUCUGCCUGCUGCGUCCACCCUGGGGGAAGCGCCCGUCGUACCCUCCACACCGGGGGCUUCCCCUGACCCCUUAGGCCCUCCCCCUGCAGGUGCCCUCGCGCCCCUCCCGGGGUCCCCAGGGAAACGUGCUUCCAAUCUUCCAGGAAAAAUUGAAGGCUCCGGAUGAGAAAAAGCAAACAAAGGACAGUGGGACCAUGGGCGUCCCCACCCCCACCACCCGCAGGCCCCACACUCAAACCAGCGCCCGUGCCCACGCCCAUGCAGCCGUCCUCCGCCAGGCCCCAAGAACGGCUGUUACUUUGGGGGCCGAGGCACAAGGGAGGCCCCAUUCAUCUUCCCUGGAGUCGGCAUCCCUUUGAUUGCGGGGCCACCUCUCAUCUGAACAUCUUCACCCCCCCCCAAUAUUCCUUCUGAACCCUCCAUCCUCCUUCUCCCCUUCUCUUGGGACCAUAAACCUACCCCAAGAGUGAGUCCUAGCUCCAGGGCCAGCUCCCAAUCCUGCCUCUGUCUGGUGGCAGCUGGGGCCAGGCUGAAGGUCUGUCCUAGACUGAGCCAUAAAGGCAAAAAUAAUACUUACUCCUAAUAGAAGUAAAGCACUUCACCCUAGAUGAGCCCUGGUCCUGGUCACACACAGAACCUAGACCUUUAUUUAGAGAUGGACCAUUAAUUUGUCAUGUGGGCUAGGCAUGGUGGCUCAAACCUGUAAUCCCACUUUGGGAGGCCCAAGCAGGAGGAUCACUUGAGGCCAUGAGUUCGAGACCAGCCUAGGCAACAUAACAAGACCACGUCUCUACAAAAAGAUUUAAAAAUUAACCAGGUUUGGUGGCAUGUGCCUGUAGUCCCAGCUACUGCAGUGAACCAAGAUUGUGCCACUGCACUCCAGCCUGGGCAACGGAGCAAGAUCCUGUCACAAAAAAAAAUUAUCACGUGGCCGAAGUUAUUUCCAGGCUCCGAGCGCCAGCUUCCUCAUCUUUCCAACAGAGGGCCUUCACCUGGGCUAAGUGUUAAAUCAGAAAGCCCCUAUUCAGAGGUUGGCCUGCAGUUCCCUGACCUGGUAACACUGGGGAGCAUUGGCUGCUGUCACCUGCCAGCUCCCACCCCCACCCAACACUUACACACCAAGCAUCACUAAUUUUUGCAGCUGCCAUGAUAAAUGGCACUGUUGGCAAAAUGACAUCUUUCUAAUCUGCCACAAGACAGACGGGUCCCCGAGCUCCCACAGCCUCCCAAGAGCCAGCCCAGGCCAUCCUUGUUGAGAGGAUGGGCAGAUGCAAAGCCCAGGGCCUGGGGGCGGGUGGGAUGGAGAGGAGACCUCAGGGCCCAGAAUCAAGGACAUCCCUAGUGGGGUUUACCACAGGCUCUUUUCUAAAUAUUUAGUUGUAUGUGUGCUUUUAAAAAUAUUCCAAAGAAUAUUAUAUGCUCUGUUCCUUUCUGACCAAAGUUAGGGCUUCAAUUCAAUUUUCUUUUCUUUUCUUUCUUUUUUUUAGACAGGGUCUUGCUGUAUCGCCCAAGCUGGAGUGCAGUGGCACAAUCACAGCUCACUGCAGCCUUGACCUCCUGGGCUCAAGCGAUCCCCCCACCUCAGCCACCUGAGUAGCUGGGUCUAUAGGCGCCAGCUACCAUGCCUGGCUAAUCUUUGUAUUUUAUUUUGUAGACACGGGGUCUCGCCAUGUUGUCCAGGCUGGUCUUGAACUCUUGACCUCAAAUGAUCUGCUUGCCUUGCUCUCCCAAAAUGCUGGGAUUUCAGGCUUGGGCCACUGCACCCAGCCUCAAUUUUCACUUUAAAUUAAAACCUGGAUAUUGUUCAGGUUUAUAAGGAUGAACCAUUAGACACUGGUUCUGAGGCGGUGCUCUCUUCCUGUCACCCUCUGCUCUGCGGAACAGUCUGCCUCUGCCUGAGCCAUUAGGUCUGGGGGCUUUCUCACCCCCCUCCUCCCUCCCACUCCCUCCAUGGCUCCCACCCUCCCACCCAGCCUCUUUGCUGACCUCAGCCGCAUCCCCUCCAUGCCUCACACUGGCCUGGGACUGCCAGGUUCCUGUGUCCAGGAGUAGAGGUGAAUUGGGGCUCUGGAUGCCAAGAACAGAGGAAGGACAAAUGCCAGCCCCAGAGACCCUCACCUCCUCAAGACCAACAGGAGCUGGCGCCUGUCCGCCCAGCAGCAGCAAAGCCAGAGCGGGUGCCAGCCAGGGUGGGUAGGCACAGGCCUGGGCUUGAAGAUUGAGACAGCGCUGCCCCCUCCUGGCUAAUUCACGGCUGCUCCUCUGACAGGCACUGCCAGGCUAAGCUGUUGAGGUUGGGGACAUAGUGAGUGACCCCAAAAACAGCAUGUGACAAGCUGACCUUCCCUGCAGUCUGCCCAGCUGGGAGCUGCCUCCCACUCUGCCCAUCCUGUCCGAGCUUCUCCCAAAGCAUCUUCCGGCCCUCACACCUUCAGGGCAAAGCCCGAGGCCCCUCCCGGCUGCCCACAAUGUGGCCCCGGGUAGCAGCCUCGCCCCCUGCACCCCAGGCCCCUGCUGCUCUGUGCCUCCCCAGUUCCCUGUCACUGCACCUGCAUGCUUUGCUCUCACCUUGACCUCCACCUUCGCCCUCCCCAGCAGUCUCCUCUUGUCCUCUUAGGUCCCUCCCCGAGGAAACUCCUCUCCCAACUCCCAACCAGAGGGACUCCGCUCCUCUGCCUGCACCCCGACCUGCCCUGCCCCUGUCUCGGGGACUGCACACUGUCAGCACAGUCCCACAGUUCUGGAACUUGGGAGAACCUAGACCUCUUCCAAGCCUACCCUGUGCACUGUCUAAAGGGCAAUCCUGAGCCCAGAGAGGGGCAGGAGCUGCACAAGGCCACACAGCCUGUAAUGGCAGUUAGGACUGGAAUGCAGCUCUCCCGAGUCUCUGCCUGGGGCUCCUUGGAGGACAGACACAUGGCUUCCCCACCUGGUGAACCAGAAUGGAACUCUUCAAGGACAGGGACUGUAUCAUUCCUUCCAGUGUCCCCAGCCCCUCACCCAGAGCAGGACCCACAGGAAGCAACUGUGAACAGAAAAGGAAAAAACAAAUACAUGAAAAUGUAUCUCU